AGUGGAGGUCCCUGCUGAGGUGGUGGCAGGAGCAGUGGAGGUGACAUCAGAGGAGGUGACACCAGUGGUGGUGACACCAGUGGAGGUGACACUGGUGGAGGUUCCGUCAGUAGUAGAGGAGACAGCAGAGGUCUCUGUUGAGGUGGUGGCAGGAGCAGUGGAGGUGACAUCGGUGGGGGUGACACUGAUGGAGGUGACAUCGGUGGUGGUGACACCAGUGGGGGUGACACCAGUGGAGGUGACACUGAUGGAGGUGCCCUCAGUAGUAGAGGAGACAGUGGCGGUCAUUUCUGAGGUGGUGGCAGGAGCAGUGGAGGUGACAUCGGUGGAGGUGACACCAGUGGAGGUGACAUCGGUGGAGGGUCCUAGCAGGGUUGUGGAAGAGGCUGUAGAGGACGCUCCUGAGGCAGUGGGAGAUGAUGUGGGGGUGACACUGGUGGAGGUGACAUCUGUGGUGGUGCCACCAGUGGAGGUGACAGCAGUGGUGGUUCCCUCAGUAGAAGAGGAGACAGCAGAGGAUCCUCCUGAGGUGGUGGCAGGAGCAGUGGAGGUGACAUCAGUGGGGGUGACACUGGUGGAGGUGACAGCAGUUGGGGUUCCCUCAGUAGCAGAAGAGACAGUGGAGGUCCCUGCUGAGGUGGUGGCUGGAGCGGUGGAGGUGACAUCGGUGGAGGUGACACCAGUGGAGGUGACAUCGGUGGUGGUGACACCAGUGGGGGUGACAUUGGUGGAGGUGACAGCGCUGGAGGUGACACUGGUGGAG
rnacentral:lncRNA from 1 species